rnacentral:rRNA from 1 species
AAAUUAAAGUUUCGACGGUUAUUGAUGGGCAUGCGUGGCAUUAGUUUGUUGGUGAGGUAACGGCUCACCAAGACAUCGAUGCCUAGGGGGCCUGAGAGGGUGAUCCCCCACACUGGUACUGAGACACGGACCAGACUCCUACGGGAGGCAGCAGUAAGGAAUAUUGGGCAAUGGACGAAAGUCUGACCCAGCCAUGCCGCGUGCAGGAUGACGGCCCUAGUGGUUGUAAACUGCUUUUAUACGGGAAGAAAAGUUCCAACGUGUUGGAAUGUGACUGUACCGUAUGAAUAAGCAUCGGCUAACUCCGUGCCAGCAGCCGCGGUAAUACGGAGGAUGCAAGCGUUAUCCGGAUUCAUUGGGUUUAAAGGGUGCGUAGGCGGAUUGGUAAGUCAGUGGUGAAAUCCUCUCGCUUAACGGGAGAAUUGCCGUUGAUACUAUCAAUCUUGAGUACACUUGAAGUGGGCGGAAUGUGUCAUGUAGCGGUGAAAUGCAUAGAUAUGACACAGAACACCGAUUGCGAAGGCAGCUCACUAAAUUGUAACUGACGCUGAGGCACGAAAGCGUGGGGAGCAAACAGGAUUAGAUACCCUGGUAGUCCACGCUGUAAACGAUGAUCACUAGCUGUUGGCGAUACACUGUCAGCGGCUGAGCGAAAGUAUUAAGUGAUCCACCUGGGGAGUACGAUCGCAAGGUUGAAACUCAAAGGAAUUGACGGGGGCCCGCACAAGCGGAGGAGCAUGUGGUUUAAUUCGAUGAUACGCGAGGAACCUCACCUAGGCUUAAAUGCUUUUUGACCGUCCUGGAAACAGGAUUUCCCUUCGGGGCAAAUUGCAAGGUGCUGCAUGGUUGUCGUCAGCUCGUGCCGUGAGGUGUCGGGUUAAGGCCCAUAACGAGCGCAACCCCUAUUCUUGGUUGCCAUCAGGUAAUGCUGGGAACUCUAAGGAAACUGCCUACGCAAGUAGUGAGGAAGGUGGGGAUGACGUCAAAUCAGCACGGCCCUUACGCCUAGGGCUACACACGUGCUACAAUGGCCAGCAUAGUGGGUUGCUACCUGGUAACAGGAUGCUAAUCUCUAAAUCUGGUCUCAGUUCGGAUUGAAGUCUGCAACUCGACUUCAUGAAGUUGGAUUCGCUAGUAAUCGCGCAUCAGCAAUGGCGCGGUGAAUACGU